GCAGGUCGGUGGCGGCGGAAAUCAGCGGGCGGGGCGAAGGGAGCGCAAACGCUGCGGCCGCGGGGUUGGGGAGCGUGGCCGGGGCCUCGGCCCUUCGGCGCCCCGUCCGGAGCGGAGCGGCUCUUUCCGCCGAGGGAAGCCGCUUGAACAGAGGGCCGACUCGGCUUCCCUUCCCGCGCCGGCCCCCGGGCUGCCAAGGAAGGCCGCGGCGGCUGUUGGAGGAGAGCCAGCUAAGCCGCCCGCUUGGAGCCGCGGCGCGUCCCCGAAAUUACGGCCGGUUGGGUGACCUAGGUCGGCCCCCCGGAGGUUUCCCGAUCCUCGCUUUCCUGUCGCCCGGAAGCAGGCGGCGUCCUGGGGCGUUUCGGCCGCUGCCGGUUUUCGCUUUUGUGCGGCACUAGCAGAGCGAAGCGCCUGGGCGGGCGCAUGUGUGUGUGUGCGCACGUUGCUGUAAGUGGGGAUGUCCUCAAGGGAAAAGCAAAAGCUCCAACUUCAGCUAAGGAAGCAAGCAAGCAAGAAUCAAAGGAAAACCAUCCAUCUUGAUUUGAAGAAGAUCAUCAAAAUGCACGAGGAAUGGAAGAAGGAGAACAUUAUAGCACAAGAAGAAGGGCUGGCCCAUUCCACCAUCUCCACCAUCCUGAAGGAUCAGAGAGGUGGUUACAAGAGCGCCAGGAAUAGAUCCUGUUGUAACAAGAUACUGAACAGGGCUCAUCCACAAAAUAGUAAAAAA